AUACUUACCUGGCAGGGGAGACACCAUGAUCAUGAAGGCGGCUUUCCCAGGGCGAGGUUUAUCCAUUGCACUCCAGAUGUGCUGACCCCUGUGAUUUCCUCAAAUGCGGGAAAUUCAACUGCAUAAUUUGUGGUAGUGGGGGACUGCAUUCUUGCUCUUCCCUG